UCUUAGCGACCCCAUGGACUGCAGCCCACCAGGCUCCUCCGUCCAUGGGAGUUGUCAGGCAAGAGCACAAGAGUGGGGUGCCAGUGCCUUCUCCGAGCAGAAACCCUAGCCUCCAACAACUGCAGCUCCAGCAAACAGUAAAUGCUGCCCACGGGCACCAGUCACAGGUAACACCUCGUGCUGAAGGCCUGUUCAAUUCAGUUCCUUCCCUUUAAUACAGUAUGUGUAAGUUUCAUCCAAGAAUUACAAAACACAUUGAAAGACAAAAAGAAAAAAAGGAGAGAGAAAUAUACAGUCUGAUGAGACAAAGCAAGUAGUAAUACCAGACCAAGAAAGAACAGUGAUGUUGGAAUCUUCAGAGGAGGAAUUUAAUCAACUCUGAUUAGUACGCUGAGGGCUCCAGGUGGGGAAAGUUGACAAGGUGAGGGGAGCAGGUGGAAAGUGUCGGUUAAGAGGUGGAAACUCCAGCCUCCUACAGGUAGGACUCGCCUUUUAUGGGGCCUGUGUCCCUGGACCAUGACCUCCUUUAGGGCAUCCCAGCCUCAUCCCCAGCUGGGGUCCCCUCGGUGACUGGAGAGGCCUGGAUGGACAGCCCCGGCCCCCACGCUGCCCCGGUGCUGCUGGAACUCAGGUGCCCUCAGUGUUUCCCAUGCACUGGGGCCUUGGUUGAUAACACCUGGCUUUUGCACAGCUCCCCUCCACUGCUGGGUACAUGGAGGCUUUUCUCGCAUAUUCACCUUGAGAACACGAUGGGGUUCCUGGAGGCAGAACUCGUGCAAGAGUGGGCCCAGGGUCUCCACCCCUCCAAGGAGUCCAGUCCCCAGCAGUUGUCUGGCGCCGCUCUAAUCAUUCCAACAGGCUGCAGCUGUGACUUCCCUAUGGUUGCCUGAGCCCACGGGUCUGCAUUUCCAACUUGCCCGGCGGUUGUGUACUCUGUGACCCUAUUUCUUUGCUGUAUCGUAAAAAGGUUGUUGAUGUUCAGUUCCUUUGGUCGUUUGCCUUACUGUGAGAAUCGAGGUGAUGCCUGGCAAGCUCCUUACAUUUCAGACCAGAAGCUAGAUGAGCAAGACACCACUUUUCAAGUUUUAUUUAGCUUUUUGAAAGUAUUUGAAAGAGUUGCUUUAAAGUCUUCGUCUAGCACAGGAAGUCCCCUCUAUGUGAAACUUCAAGUUGCAGCCUUUUGAAGAUGCAGACAUGCAUUCCAUCAAUGUCAGGCCCUCCAUCUCCUAUUGCUGACAACCCUUCACUCUUUCAUCUCCCACCACCCCUCCCUCUCCAGUCAGUAACUGUUCAUGCCUGUUCACUGGGUGCCAGCCCUGCACACCAGCUGUCGUACUGUGUGCUCUACAGUACUUUUCAAGGUGCUGUACUAUAAGAUGAGGAAACAAUGGAAACAGUGACAGACUUUAUUUUUCUGGGCUCC